rnacentral:rRNA from 1 species
AGUGAACGCUGGCGGUAGGCCUAACACAUGCAAGUCGAACGGCAGCACAGUAAGAGCUUGCUCUUACGGGUGGCGAGUGGCGGACGGGUGAGGAAUACAUCGGAAUCUACUUUUUCGUGGGGGAUAACGUAGGGAAACUUACGCUAAUACCGCAUACGACCUACGGGUGAAAGCAGGGGAUCUUCGGACCUUGCGCGAUUGAAUGAGCCGAUGUGGGAUUAGCUAGUUGGCGGGGUAAAGGCCCACCAAGGCGACGAUCCGUAGCUGGUCUGAGGGGAUGAUCCGCCCCCCUGGACCGGGGCCACGGCCCAGACUCCAACGGGGGGCAGCAGUGGGGAAUAUUGGACAAUGGGCGCAACCCUGAUCCAGCCAUCCCGCGUGGUGAAGAAGGCCUUCGGGUUGUAAAGCCCUUUUGUUGGGAAAGAAAAGCAGCAGGUUAAUACCCCGCUGUUCUGACGGUACCCAAAGAAUAAGCACCGGCUAACUUCGUG